CACUAUGCUCAGCCAUAAACUUUGAUAGGCCAUUACACCCCCUAUCCGCCCGGGAACUACGAGCACUAGCUUAAAACCCAAAGGACUUGGCGGUGCUUCAGACCCACCUAGAGGAGCCUGUUCUACAACCGAUAUCCCCCGUUGAACCUCACCCUCUCUUUGUUCUUUUCCGUCUAUAUACCGCCGUCGUCAGCUUACCCUGUGAAGGGCUAAUAGUAAGCAAAAUUGGCAAAGCCCAAAACGCCAGGUCGAGGUGUAGUGAAUGAGAGGGCAAGAAAUGGGCUACAUUUCCUGGACCAGGAGACACGAACAAUUCUUUGUGCUGAAAAACACAUUUGAAGGAGGAUUUAGCAGUAAGCGAAAAUUAGAGCGUUUCGCUGAAAUUGGCCCUGAAGCGCGCACACACCGCCCGUCACUCUCCCCAGCAAUAUUCAUGGACCCAUACUUAAACUUUAAUACCAAACAUAGGGGAGGCAAGUCGUAA
rnacentral:rRNA from 1 species